rnacentral:rRNA from 1 species
CUGCCUUCAGGAUGGGGAUAACAUUUGGAAACAGAUGCUAACACCCAAUGUGCCGAGAGGUGAAAAAUUUAUUGCCUGAAGAGGAGCUCGCGUCUGAUUAGUUAGUUGGUGGGGUAAGAGCCUACCAAGACAGCGAUCAGUAGCUGGUCUGAGAGGAUGAGCAGCCACACUGGGACUGAGACACGGCCCAGACUCCUACGGGAGGCAGCAGUGGGGAAUUUUCCGCAAUGGGCGAAAGCCUGACGGAGCAAUACCGCGUGAGGGAGGAAGGUCUAAAAGAUUGUAAACCUCUUUUCUCAGGAAAGAUGAUGACGGUACCUGAGGAAUAAGCAUCGGCUAACUCCGUGCCAGCAGCCGCGGUAAUACGGAGGAUGCAAGCGUUAUCCGGAAUUAUUGGGCGUAAAGCGUCCGCAGGUGGUCAGACAAGUCUGCUGUCAAAGACUAGAGCUUAACUCUGGAAAGGCAGUGGAAACUGUAGGACUAGAGACCGGCAGGGGUAGAGGGAAUUCCUAGUGUAGCGGUGAAAUGCGUAGAGAUUAGGAAGAACACCAGUGGCGAAGGCGCUCUACUGGGCCGGAACUGACACUCAGGGACCAAAGCUAGGGGAGCG